UGCAAGUCGAACGGUGAAGCAGAGCUUGCUCUGUGGAUCAGUGGCGAACGGGUGAGUAACACGUGAGCAAUCUGCCCCUGACUCUGGGAUAAGCGCUGGAAACGGCGUCUAAUACCGGAUACGAGCUGCGAAGGCAUCUUCAGCAGUUGGAAAGAAUUUCGGUCAGGGAUGAGCUCGCGGCCUAUCAGCUUGUUGGUGAGGUAGUGGCUCACCAAGGCGUCGACGGGUAGCCGGCCUGAGAGGGUGACCGGCCACACUGGGACUGAGACACGGCCCAGACUCCUACGGGAGGCAGCAGUGGGGAAUAUUGCACAAUGGGCGCAAGCCUGAUGCAGCAACGCCGCGUGAGGGAUGACGGCCUUCGGGUUGUAAACCUCUUUUAGCAAGGAAGAAGCGAAAGUGACGGUACUUGCAGAAAAAGCGCCGGCUAACUACGUGCCAGCAGCCGCGGUAAUACGUAGGGCGCAAGCGUUAUCCGGAAUUAUUGGGCGUAAAGAGCUCGUAGGCGGUUUGUCGCGUCUGCUGUGAAAACUGGAGGCUCAACCUCCAGCCUGCAGUGGGUACGGGCAGACUAGAGUGCGGUAGGGGAGAUUGGAAUUCCUGGUGUAGCGGUGGAAUGCGCAGAUAUCAGGAGGAACACCGAUGGCGAAGGCAGAUCUCUGGGCCGUAACUGACGCUGAGGAGCGAAAGGGUGGGGAGCAAACAGGCUUAGAUACCCUGGUAGUCCACCCCGUAAACGUUGGGAACUAGUUGUGGGGUCCAUUCCACGGAUUCCGUGACGCAGCUAACGCAUUAAGUUCCCCGCCUGGGGAGUACGGCCGCAAGGCUAAAACUCAAAGGAAUUGACGGGGACCCGCACAAGCGGCGGA
rnacentral:rRNA from 1 species